rnacentral:rRNA from 1 species
CCGCGUGAGGGAUGAAAGGUCUUACGGGGUUCGUUAAACCUCUUUCAAAGCAGGGACGAUAAUGACGGUACCUGCAGAAGAAAGCUCCGGCCAACUACGUGC